GAAAACAGUUAUUUAUAAAUAUUUUUAAGUGCAUUUAUAUAUCCAUUAAAAAACAAUUCCCAUAUAAUAUGUAGUAAUAGUUCAAUAUAGUUGAAUACUGAUGCAACAUAUGGUCUGAUUAUUUAAUAGUACAGUGUGUAGGAUUUGGCGGCAUCCAGUGGCGUGGUUGCAGAUUGCAAAUAACUGAGUACCCCUCCGCUCACUCCACUCUUUUCAAAGACUGCGGUAAAGUGAGCCACAGAGUACAAAACCGUGGUAACGCUAUCUGCCUCGCUAAGAGGCCAUCCUUACCUUAAUAACACUACAUUAGGAGCAACGGAAGGCAGACAG